GGCCGCAGAAUUUUAACUGUGCAAAGGUAGCAUAAUCACUAGUUUUUUAAUUGAAAGCUUGAAUGAAUGGUUGGACGAGGUACUAGCUGUUUCACAUUAAACAUUAGAAUUUUAUUUUUAGGUAAAAAAGCCUAGAUUUUUUUAAAAGACGAGAAGACCCUAUAGAUCUUUAUAGUUUUUAUUUUAUUAUUUAUGAGGAUUUUUUUAAUUAAUAAUUUUUACACUAUUUUGCUGGGGUGGCAGAGAAAUUUGUUUAACUUUUUCUAUUUUUUUAACAUUUAUUUAUGAUUAUAAUGAUCCUUUUUAAGAUUAAAAAUUUAAGUUACCUUAGGGAUAACAGCGUAAUCUUUUCGGAGAGUUCAUAUCGAUGAGAAGGAUUGCGACCUCGAUGUUGGAUUAA
rnacentral:rRNA from 1 species